UACGGAGGGUGCGAGCGUUGUUCGGAAUUAUUGGGCGUAAAGGGCGCGUAGGCGGUGCGGUAAGUCACCUGUGAAACCUCUAGGCUUAACCUAGAGCCUGCAGGCGAAACUGCCGUGCUGGAGUGUGGGAGAGGUGCGUGGAAUUCCCGGUGUAGCGGUGAAAUGCGCAGAUAUCGGGAGGAACACCGGUGGCGAAGGCGGUUCUCUGGGCCUUACCUGACGCUGAGGAGCGAAAGCGUGGGGAGCGAACAGG
rnacentral:rRNA from 1 species